AGAACGGCUGAGAUGGGAAGCAGUAGGCGGUAUGCGGAUGCCGAGAGAGGGAGCGGUUGGUGCAAGCUCCCGUGAUGCGCCGCCCAAGUCGUCCCGGAGCCUUGGGCUGAACUGACAGUAGGCUGCAACGGUGGGUCCUCCGUUAUCGGGACAGGGCGUAUUUGCGCCCAUGAGUGCGGGAUUUCCCGAAUACAGGUGGUACCACGGACUUUUUAUGGUUCGCCCUGUUU
rnacentral:ncRNA from 1 species